GUGGAGAUGUCGGUCCAUUUCCAUUUUCCAGGGGGUUCAUUAAGUAUAUUCAAGUUCGUUUGUAAAAUGAGGGGGUUGAAAGUCCAGUAUUGUCACUAUAUUAAUGUGUCUUCAAUAUCUCUCAACUCUCUCUGCGGUGAAUCAACUAGCUCGAGCGACAAUUCGUCGAUACAAAGUCGAGGAAUGGCUGCUAUAAAGACUACUAACUAUGUUUACCAUGUAUAUUAAAUAUCUGGCUGAAAGACGACAGGCUAUAUGUAAUCAUUUAGUCUUGGUGUUUUGUCGUCAUGGGGGAUUUUGAAUUGUCUGGCGUUUAUAGACAGUAAAUACUAAAGUAGGGCGCAUUGCCAGCUAAUGGGUUAAUAAGAGACAUUGGCAGAUAGGUUUGUUAACCCAUUUACGGACAAUACUCUACCACUGACAAGUAAAAUCGUACACAGUGUAAAAUUGUCUGGCGUUGGACAGAGUUAAUACUAAGGUUGGAUGUAUUGCCAGCUAAUGGGUUUAUAAUAGACCUUCUUAAUGCUGUUUAUCCACUUUUAACCCAAUGGCCUCUGAUUUUUACUUCAAGAAAAUGUUUGUUACCAAAUAAUUUUAUAUGAAUAUGCUUCAUCAUCUGUAAUGGAAAGAAAUCUUCUCGAAAUUAUAUAUUUGUCGUG